CCUACGGGGGGCAGCAGUGGGGGAUAUUGCAUCAUGGGGGAAACCCUGAUGCAGCGACGCCGCGUGGGUGAAGAAGCGCCUCGGCGCGUAAAGCCCUGUCAGCAGGGAAGAAAAUGACGGUACCUGAAGAAGAAGCCCCGGCUAACUACGUGCCAGCAGCCGCGGUAAUACGUAGGGGGCAAGCGUGAUCCGGAUUUACUGGGUGUAAAGGGGGCGCAGACGGCGAUGCAAGCCAGGAGUGAAAGCCCGGGGCCCAACCCCGGGACUGCUCUUGGAACUGCGUGGCGAGAGUGCAGGAGGGGCAGGCGGAAGUCCUGGUGUAGCGGUGAAAUGCGUAGAUAUCAGGAGGAACACCGGUGGCGAAGGCGGCCUGCUGGACUGCAACUGACGUUGAGGCCCGAAAGCGUGGGGAGCAAACAGAAUUAGAUACCCCAGUAGUC
rnacentral:rRNA from 1 species